rnacentral:rRNA from 1 species
CACGUAGGGGACGAGCGUUGUCCGGAUUCAUUGGGCGUAAAGCGCGCGUAGGCGGCUCGGAAAGUCGGUCGUGAAAUGCCGGGGCUCAACCGUGGAAGUGCACCCGAAACUGCGUAGCUAGAGUCCUGGAGAGGAAGGUGGAAUGCUUGGUGUAGAGGUGAAAUUCGUAGAUAUCAAGCGGAACACCGGUGGCGAAGGCGGCCUUCUGGACAGUGACUGACGCUGAGACGCGAAAGCGUGGGGAGCGAACAGG